rnacentral:rRNA from 1 species
UACGAAGGGUGCUAGCGUUGUUCGGAAUUACUGGGCGUAAAGCGCGCGUAGGCGGCUUUCCAAGUCAGGGGUGAAAUCCUGGGGCUUAACCCCAGAAUUGCCUUUGAAACUGGAAAGCUAGAGUGUCGGAGGGGAUAGCGGAAUUGCUAAUGUAGAGGUGAAAUUCGUAGAUAUUAGCAGGAACACCGGUGGCGAAGGCGGCUAUCUGGACGACAACUGACGCUGAGGCGCGAAAGCGUGGGGAGCAAACAGG